GUUGUUUAUUUGUUAAGUUCUGAGAUUUCGCUGAAAAUACUAACCUGUCAUAUGCAUUUCAUAGUGCAAUGUUUAAUGUUUACUACAUUUUAUACAUCAGGAUGAAUCAAGAGACUUUAAAACCCUGAAGGCACGGUUCCAGGGUGAAAAUGGUCUGAAGAUCCAAACUAAACCUGCCCUCCCAGAGAAACCCAAAACCAUCCCUCCAUCGACAAAAGUCAGCAAUACUUUGAUCUCAUCCAUCAAUGCUGCUGUGCAAAAAGGGUCGCUUCAUGCACCACGUGUAGUCUUCAAGGAGGACAAAAAUCUCAGUCGCCAGCUCUCUCCACCUUGGGGAUUAAAGACCAGAGAGAACCAACCCAUAAAUAAUGAUGAACUGCUGGAUAAUAAGCAGGUCAACACUGUUAAGCAGAAUCUGAAAGACAGGAAUCUUCCGCUGGUUCUGCCUGUGGCUCCAAAAACUAAAACUCCAGAGCCCGAUUCCAGUCCACCUACACCUAUGUCCGCUUCACCAGUCAAAGUGACGACACCCAAAAAGUUUGUAUUUACCCCUCAAAAAACGAACAAAGAUGAAUGUGAGAAAACAGACCCUGUGAAGGAGGUGAACACUACCAAAAAGUCUCUGAAGGACAGGAAUCUUCCGCUGGUUCUGCCUGUGGCUCCAAAAACUAAAACUCCAGAGCCCGAUUCCAGUCCACCUACACCUAUGUCCGUUCCACCAGUCAAAAUGUCCACACACAAGAGUUUUGUAUUUACUCCUCAAAAAACUAGCCAAGAUGAGAAUGAGAAGGCAGACACAGUAAAAGAGUUUGCCACUGCCAAAAAGUCUCUGAACGACCGCAAUCUUCCACUGGUUCUGCCAGUGCCUCCAAUAAAAGUUGAUACCCCAGAGCCUGAACCCAGCCCCUAUACACCUCGGAAUUACACACCCAAUAAUUUUGUGUUUACCAUUCAAAAAAAUAGCAAAGAUGAGAAUAAGGAGGCAAAUACAGUGGAAAGACCAACACCAGCUAGUCGUACCCCUGCUCCAAGUCACCCAGCUCCUGCUGGCCCAACUGUAACAGCUACUCCCCCUACUCAAAGGGUACCUGUUGUUCCUAAGGCUGUUGUACCUUCUCAGACUUCAAUUGGAAUAACUUCUUUCCCCAACAUUCCUGCCCCAAGUAUUCCAGCUCUAGGCAGUUCAACCUCUGCCAGCCCUGAGCCAAAGAUUCCUGAAUCAGCCAUCCCAACACCAUCUCAAGCUAUUCCUAAAUCAAAACCAGAAACCUCUAUUUCAUCUCCUCCUGACACUGAAUCUUCCAAACCAAAUAUACAUGUGCUCAGUUUAUCAGAAGUAUUUCCUCCCCCUAAAGGAAGUCCACCUACAGAAUUCACUGAUAUUCCGCCCCCUGUUUUUGAUGAAGACUUUCCAGAUGGAGGCUUUUCUGAGCAAACCAUACCCACUCCAGCAAUACGUACAUCUAUUGCCCCAGUUCCCAGGAGUCAAGUUGUCUCCAGGUCCCCUGCCCCAUCCACCCCUCCAGCGGUAUCUCCAGAGCCCUUGGUGAAUCCCUUCGAAUAUACACCUGCUCCAGUCUCAAGCCCUCCUCCAGAAGUUUAUACUCCUGCUGCACCUCUAGACGUGUUACUGGAGAAUGCAAAAGCUCUGACUGACAAGGCAGCUAUUAACCAAGAGAGGUCUAAUGAGGACCAGUCCUCAACCAAGCCGCUUUCAGCCCUCUCAGCCUUGGCGAGAGCAGAGGAGAUGGCCUCUGUAAAACGGUCACCAAAUGAUAGCCGUGUAUUUAACCUUCUGGAAAAGGCCAAGAGAAAGUUUACAGUGAACCCACUGGCUACCACACCUGAAAAUACAUCUAUACCUGAAAAUACAACCCUAGUUGAGACAGCUACACCCAAGAUACCUCUGCCUGAAACUCCCACACCUCUGCCUAAGACUGCCACAGCUGAGGUGACCCAACCUGAUCUAGCUCCACUUGAAAAAACCUUACCACAGCUUGCCACAACUUUAGAAACCCUGCCUGAGGAAGCCCAACCUGUACCCGAAGUGUUUGAUAUCCCUAAACUCCCUCCAGUUGACUAUGUGAAUCAUACUCGGUUGCCACCUAAAACUUACCCACCUGAAACUGUUGAAGUUAAUGGCUUUGAUCACAGGGUGGUGACAGUGGUCAAACCAGUGAAUCCUCCUCCCCCACCGCCUAGGAAGGCUCUGCCAGCCUUACCCAUUGUGGAUCCCCCACUUGAGAAACCAACUCAGUCUCCUGCCAGAGACCUCCAGAUUCCCACAACACCAUCUGAACCUCUAGAAACACAUGAAUCACUAUAUGACAACUCAUUUGAGUUUUAUGAAGAUGUUGAGGAACCUAAGGCUCCAGCAUUUUCAACCUUUAGGCCUCCAUCAGUACCAUCAUCAGCUUCUAGUACCAAAAGGCCAAUUUCAGCUUAUGAGGAAGCCUUCCUGAGACAGUUGAGCCCAAAACAGCAGUUGAAAGAGGACAUGUUUCCGAACAUGGAUGAUAGAGAUGUGGAUUAUGGGUCUAUGAACUCUGGCUCUCCAUUUCCAGAAACUCAAGCUGCUGUAAAUCAGGACUCAGUGCGAAGCUCUCCUGCCUUGACUCCAUCAGGGACUCUUGAAAGAGGUGACAAUGUCUUUGAUGAUCAAGUAGACAGUAAAAAAAGCAAAACGACAAAGACUAAGAAACAGAAAGGACCUCCAAAGAAUCCAUAUGCUGAUGCUCCAGAUGCAGUGGAGGAGGCUCCCAAGAAAAGCUUGUUCUCCAGGAAGAACUCAGGAAAAGUGGCAGAUGACAAAGAGCUAAAGAAAAAAGAGAAACAGCGAGAAAAGGAAAAAGAGAAAGAGAAGGAGAGGGAAAAGAAGGAGCAGAAAGAAAAGGAAAAGAAAGAAAAUGAAAUGAGGAAAAAAUUUAAGGUAAUUCAUUUGUUUUAG
ensembl:lncRNA